AAGGUACUCCCUCCAUCCGAAAAUACUUGUUAUCAAUAUGAACAAAAAAGAUGUAUCUUGAACUAAAAUACAUCUAGAUACAUCCCCUUUUAUUAAUUUGGUGACAAGUAUUUUCAGACGGAGGGAGUACAAA
rfam:Triticum aestivum genome assembly, contig: Triticum_aestivum_CS42_TGACv1_scaffold_288611_4AL